rnacentral:rRNA from 1 species
AUUAUUAAAAACAAUUUAUUGUUAGUAUAUAAAGAUUAUGAAAACAAAAAAUCAUGGCGGUACUUUAAGCUUUUCAGAGGAAUUUGCUCUUUAAUGGAUAAAACACCUAAAUCUUACUAAAAUUAGUAAAGUCAAUUUGUAUACCACUAUAAAAAUAAUAUUUUAUUUAUAUUAUUAUAAUAUUAAAUAAAAAAUAAAUUAAGUCAUGGUGCAGUAGAAAUUUUAGGAUGAAGUGAAUUACAUUUCUUUUAAGAAAUAAAAUUUUUAAAAUAAAAAAUUAGGAUUUGAAAGUAAAAAUGAAAUAGAAUGUUGUUUUGAAUUAAGUUCUAAAGUAUGUAC